rnacentral:snRNA from 1 species
ACACUUACCUGGCAGCGAGGAGACCCUGACCAGGAAGGUGGUUUUCCCAGGGCGAGGCUUGUCCACGGCGCUCAGGAUGGGCUGACCCCUGCGACUUCCCCACAUGUGGGAAACUCCACUGUAUAAUUUGUGGUAGUGGGGGACGGCGUUAGAAUAACUUUUA